rnacentral:rRNA from 1 species
UACAGAGGUCCCGAGCGUUGUUCGGAUUCACUGGGCGUAAAGGGUGCGUAGGUGGCUUGGUAAGUUUGAUGUGAGAGCUCAGGGCUCAACCCUGAAAUGGCAUUGAAUACUACUGAGCUGGAGGUUUGGAGGGGGGACUGGAAUUCUCGGUGUAGCAGUGAAAUGCGUAGAUAUCGAGAGGAACACCAGUGGCGAAGGCGAGUCCCUGGACAACACCUGACACUGAGGCACGAAAGCUAGGGGAGCAAACAGG